rnacentral:lncRNA from 1 species
CAUAUUCAAAGAAGAGUCUGCUGCCAGCUGUCAGCUCAUUCCCAGAAACAAAAGCAUUCCAGCCACUCGAAAAUCUUGCCUGAUUCCCGUACCUCAAAACUUCCACUGACAACGCUUCAUCACCGACUAUUAAGCCAACAGAUGUUCUUCUAUUCCAUUGUCGGGUGGCAGUCCAAAAAGUUGUGGGAAUAUACUGCACCAGAGAAAUUAGUAUUAAAAUAAAUUAGGGAAUCAGUCUACCAAUAAAGAAAAGAGUUAACUAAUACUUGCAAUUAUACAGUUUUAGUUUCACUGGAUACAAACAAAAAGCAAUCUCAUGAUACAAAAAACUAUUCACAGUCUAAAAUAAUAAUACAGUUUUAGUUUCGAAUACAAACAAAAAACAGAAAGAGUUAACUAAUACUCUAACAUAAUAGGAAAUCAACCUAACUAAACUUAAUGAACAGAACAAUAUAUUACCACUCCAUGCCCACGCU